UUAUCUUUGCAAUGCAUUGGUUUGCUUCCUUUUUUCAAAGGAGGCAAUUAAAAGGGAAUCAGGUGUAAGUCCUGGACAGUCCCGCUGCUGUAAGUUUCACACAAUGUUGCAGACAAUAAAACUCUCUACCCAUGCCACUGGAAAUAUAUUCCGGGAAGGCAGUCUGUAACAGAAACAAGUCAGAAGACCUGCCAUGCACCAUUUUAUCAUU
rnacentral:ncRNA from 20 species